rnacentral:sRNA from 1 species
GCCAGGUGUGGUGGCACACGCCUGUAAUCCCAGCAGCUCAGGAGGCUGAGGCAGGAAGAUCACGAGUUCAAAAUCAGCCUCAGCAAAAGUGAGGUGCUAAGCAACUCAGUGAGACCCUGUCUCUA